rnacentral:rRNA from 1 species
UACGGAGGGGGCGAGCGUUAUUCGGAAUUAUUGGGCGUAAAGGGCGCGUAGGCGGCUGUACAAGUCAAAGGUGAAAUCCCUCGGCUCAACUGAGGAACUGCCUUUGAAACUGUACGGCUUGAGGCCGGGAGGGGGUAGCGGAAUUCCCAGUGUAGCGGUGAAAUGCGUAGAUACUGGGAAGAACACCAGUGGCGAAGGCGGCUACCUGGACCGGUUCUGACGCUGAGGCGCGAAAGCGUGGGUAGCAAACAGG